GUAGGUGAACCUGCGGAAGGAUCAUUGUCGAUACCUGCCCAGCAGAAAGACCCGCGAACAGKUUUCGAUACGCCCCGGAGAAGGGGGCGGGGUGGGUUCUCCCCCCUCGCCCCCGGCCCCGGUGGGCCUGGCGCCAUCCGUGGCUCCCGGCCCGAACACAAACACCGGCGCGGACAGCGCCAAGGAAUAUCACAACGGAAAGGGCGUGCGCCGCCGCGCCCUCGGCGCGGCGUGCCUCGUCCAACAUCCGAAUCUCACGAACGACUCUCGGCAACGGAUAUCUCGGCUCUCGCAUCGAUGAAGAACGUAGCGAAAUGCGAUACUUGGUGUGAAUUGCAGAAUCCCGUGAACCAUCGAGUCUUUGAACGCAAGUUGCGCCCUAGGCCAUCGGGCCGAGGGCACGCCUGCCUGGGCGUCACGCAUCGCGUCGCCUGCCCACCCCCGCCCUCCGGGGCGGGAGGUGAGCGGAGCGGAGUCUGGCCCCCCGCGUCCCGUUAGGGGCGCGGCCGGCCCAAAGGCAAAGGCCCCCUGUGUGGCGAGCGUCACGACGAGUGGUGGUAGAAGCCACUGUGCCAUUAGUCCGGACGUCGUGCACGCGCCGCCCACCCCGGGAACCGACGACCCUGACGAGGCGCCUCGGCGCUACGACCGCGACCCCAGGUCAGGCGGGGCUACCCGCUGAG
rnacentral:rRNA from 1 species